UUUGCCUACGGGGGGCAGCAGUGAGGAAUAUUGGUCAAUGGGCGAGAGCCUGAACCAGCCAAGUCGCGUGAGGGAAGACGGUCCUAUGGAUUGUAAACCUCUUUUGUCGGGGAGCAAAAAGGCCUCGUGAGGCCACAAGUGAGAGUACCCGAAGAAAAAGCAUCGGCUAACUACGUGCCAGCAGCCGCGGUAAUACGUAGGUGGCAAGCGUUAUCCGGAUUUACUGGGUGUAAAGGGCGUGUAGGCGGGAGAGCAAGUCAGACGUGAAAUUCCAGGGCUCAACCCUGGAACUGCGUUUGAAACUG
rnacentral:rRNA from 1 species